UGCCCCAUGGCUUAGUUGGCUAUAGCCUCCGACUGUUAAGCGGAAGGUCGAAAGUUCGAGCUUCUCUGGGGCAG
rnacentral:tRNA from 1 species